UCACUACAGGCUGUGCAUAUACUAAAAUUAGAACAAUACAGAGAAGAUUAUCAUGGCCCUGCGCAAGGAAGACAUGCAGAUUUGUGAAUCGUUCCAUGUUUUU